ACUGAGUGGGAAUGAUUAGAAUAAAAUUGAGGACUCUAGCAGUGGACUUAGAAUGGUAUCAGCGGGUUCUCAUCCUACAACCUGACUUUGGAAGUUGGAGAUAAGGGGUGUCUAGGGGUUGGGUCAGACUCCAGUUUUGGAGUCUGACUCACAGUUGGGCAGAGCCAAGGCCCCCUGAGGCUGAGUCAGAACCUCUGAGAGUGAACCUGGAGCCUCAGAGGGCAGCUGGCACGGCUCACAGUGUGGGGUCCCGCCCUGCAGAGGCUGGGUCAGGCCCUCAAGGGCUGGGCUGCUGGCUUCAAGAGGCUGGGCCAGGACGUCAAGGGGCGGAGUUCCGGGUUCCACAGCUGGGACAGUGUUGCCCAGAGCCGAUUCCUGGGACUUGCAGAAACGUGCGAAGCUGCUCCUGCCGCAAGUCCACCAGGUACCUGCAGACGGGAAGCGCCCUGUCAGGGACCCAGAUUUUGAUCCCCAGCCAGGAUGUUCCCCACCCGCCAUCCCACUGGCUCACCGGGCUAAUUCCACAAUCAGGUUCCCUCCGGGUGCCACACAGGCCCCAAGCUCAGGGAUGAGAAGAUGGACCAUCCUACAGAGAGGACAGAGGACAGAGGACAGGCUGAGAUUCAGCUCCAAAUCCAGAGUGAGGAUGGGGCUCUGGGAACCCAGACAAUGAGGCAGGAGGGGUGGCAAAACUGGAGUCUGGGUCCUGGGAAAGAAGGGAGCAGGAGGUCUGGACUCUGGGGUACCAGGGAGGAGGGUCUGAGGGAGGAGGGGCUGGGGGCCUGGACUCCUGGGUCUGAAGGAGGAGGGGCUGGGAGGCCUGGACCCUGGGUCUAAGCAAGGAGGGGCUGGGGGCCUGGACUUCUGAGUCUGAGGGAGGAGGGGCUGGGGGCCUGAUCCUGGGUCUUUGUGAGCACAGCUGCCUCCCCACUUACCCACAGGCCACAUAGAGGAGCUGGAAUCGGCCGUUGUAGCAGCUCUUGUGGUGGAGAGUCUGAGCAGAAUUGAGCGGCAGGAAGUGGAUGUCCCAGCCUCGCCGCGCACCUUGACUGGCUGGCCGUUGCUGGUCCGCAGGAGGCUCUCGUCGUCCGCUUCAAUGCCGAAGGCCACGAAGGGCCCCGUGGCGAUGUCCCCCCAGUACCCGCGCGCUGCCACGCGCUCCCCACGCUGGAAAAGGAGGGAGAGAGGAGGCAGGUAAUCUAGAGAUGAUUUGCGGUGUAUGGGACCAUGUGUACAGGCUAUUUGCUGCUGCUGCACUGGCCUCCUCCCUGGAUUCCUCACCGCAGAUCUGUCCUACACAGGGUUCCAGAGGAGUCAUCCUAACACCAUCUGACCCUGUCCCUCUCAUGCUCAAAACAUAUUUGUAGCUUUCAUCACCCUCAUGACAUGGAUACUGCUGAGUUCUCCAGACACUUCACUCCAGAGUGCAGCUAUUGUGAAAAACGACUCUUUGUUCCCCACAUAAGCCUCAGAAUCUGGAUAUGGGGCCUGAAUCUGGAUAUGGGGCCUCAACACAUGCUCCAACUUGGACUAGAAUGUCCUUCUCUCUGGUCUCAGUUAACUCUGUCCCUCAGGUCUCAGUGCAGAAGUGACCUCCACCACAAAGCCUCCUCUGUCUGACCCUCUGUUUUAAACUUUUUCUUAGUGUAAAUAUGUCCCAUUUUCUGAAAAAAAUCAGCAUAUUUUAAAGUAUUCUGGCAC
rnacentral:antisense_RNA from 1 species